UUAUAAACCAAAAAGUGUUAGCUGAUCAAGCCCGCCCAUUUUGAUCAUUAACAAAUGACCCGUUUUGAUCUAUACUGACAUAUGACCCUUUUUAUAUGCGCCUAUUUUUACCCGGCUAGGGCUGCAAACAAACCGAACGUUCAGCGAAGAGUGCGUGAACCGUUCGGCGGGAAGUUCGUUUCUGUUCGUUAGUUUAAUAAAUGAACGUUCACGAACAGGAAAUUUCGUUCAUUUAGUUUAAAUAAAUGAACAUGAACAGAGGUUAUGUUCGUUCAUUUAUGUUCGUGAACGUUCGAUAACGUGUUCGUUUGUUUGUGUUCGAUAGUUCAUUAGUGUUUUAAGUUUUUAUAUUUUAAUUAAAUACUUCAAUAUUAAAUUAACCAUUUAAUAAGUAUCAGUGUAUUAUAUAUUUUGUUCAUGAACGUUUGUUUGUGUUCGUUUGUUUCCAUUUGUGUUCAUGAACAUUAGUUUGUGUUCAUGAACGUUCGCUUGCAUUCAUUGCCUAAAAUUAACAAACGAACAUGAACACGAACAAGAAAUCUCGUUCGGUAAGAGCUCAUGAAGUAUGAUAUAGAAAAAGAAACAAUACCCUGCUAAGAUCCUGUUCGAUAUCAGCAGCAGUCAUGUGGGUCCUAGUAAUCUGCUCACCCUGUUGAUGCAACGUAAUCAUAGUUUUAGUGGCAUCUUCUCUUAUGUUUUCCGCAAUUUUUAACGCGCUGUUAACUGUUUUUGUAGUUUCUUCCGCUUUGUAAGCAGCAUAAUGUUCCAGUUCUUGCACAUCUUGGUUCUCCAAACCACCAGAAUCAACAAAAUCGUUUUUGUACUUGUUUCUUGACGCAUAAGCAACUUUGUAACCUGAUCCUUUAACCUCGUCAUCAUCAAAAAGAGCGGCUCUUGAAUCUGGGACCAACACAGAAGGUUCAGAUGAAGUUCUUCUUGCCGCGUUUAAGGUUGACUUUUUGUCUGACUCGUCAUCAGAAUCGAACGGAUUUGAAGCAUGUUGACCAGGGAAUCCAGGGUCAACUGAGUUGGUUUUAGAAAUUCUGUGGGGGAAAUGAGGUAAAUGAGGUUUCUUGAGCCCAAACAUAUUGAAUUUUGCGGCACGAAAUUUGCAAAAGUAAAGAAACACUCCUGGAAAAACAAAAUACAUAUGAUUAGUAAAUUCAUUUGUCUGAUAUUUUAAACAACUAUACCUGUAUAUUCGUAGUAAAUCAACCAUUUCAGGAUAUUAUUGUUCAUUUUCACUCAUUUUUAUGACGAUCUUACUUUUGUUUGUGCAACACAAAUCUAGGUGCCAUGGUUCAACAAUUCAAUAAAUAAGCUUAUCAUCAAUCAAAUUGGGGAAAAUACUAAUUUUGACUUUUACUCAGAUCAUUGAUAAAUUGUAGACUUCUAAUUUCCCAAAAUCAAUUGCACCUAACUCUUCAUUACUCCAUUUAAUCCAUGAUUACUUAACCAAACUUUGGUUAACUAAUCAUGGAAUUAGGGAUGAGCAAAUGGUACCCGGUACCGGUACCGAGCUCAUCCCUAAUUACCAAACCCUAAGAGCAAAUUCAACAAACAAAAGAAAACAAAAUUAGGUCAUUCUCAUCAGCCAAGCACAAGAAACUUAAAACCUAAGAGGAAACUAAACAAAAUUAGGUCAUUCUAAUCAGCCAAACACAAGAAAAUUAAUCAAAUCAAAACCUAAAAGCAAUUCAACAAAGAGCAGUUACUAAUUACAACUAUUCAAAACUUGGAAUUCGAACCACAUUUGAUUGUAUACGACAUUUGACUAUUCUAAAAGUUGAGAUCGAGAAGUUAUACCUGAGAUUCUAAACCAAAUGGAG
rnacentral:lncRNA from 1 species